ACUGAAGUAGCUCAAUGGUAGAGCGGAAGGAUUGUCCUCCAGGCUGCUGGUUCGAUCCCAGCCUCCAGUA
rnacentral:tRNA from 1 species